GACAACGUGGCACAGAGGCUACUGCGUUGCACUCGAAUUCGUAAUCAAGAUGCAAUUCCUUCGGGAGCGUGAGUUCGAGUCUCACCGUUGUCU